UUUUAUGAAUUAGAAAAUUCAACAGGUAGUUAUAGUGGUUACCAUUCCAAGGAUUUUCAAUGGACUAUGCUUUCUGAGUUACCUAAAGCUAAAAAGGAUCAAUAUACUACUUAUUCACUUGGCUAUUUUCUCAGUCAAAAGCGUCCUAAACGUCGUCGUAUUAAUCCUCCUCCUCCUCCUCGUCGCUCUCCUCUCCAACAUCCUCAUUCUCCUUCACAUGCAGGUCGUCCACUUGAUCCUACGCCUAUGCCACCUCUACCUACACCUCCACCAAUAUCCGAUCUUAACCAUUAGAUGAUUUUAUAUAUAGCGAGUUCUACAGUGUAGGAUCAUAUUUUUUUCUACAAGUAUAAAAAACAAAUGUAACAAAAAUAUGAACUUCUCUCCGACAAUUUAUUAAAAAAUGUUGAUGAUCUAGUAAGUACUAAGUGUCUUGUGAAAAAAAUAAAUUCUGUCAUUUAUAGAGACAUACAAUAUAUAACAGUAGUUAUUAUUAGAAAAUAAAAUCAUUAUUAAGCUUGUGGUUAGAUUAAGUUGGUUAAUUAAUUUUAAUUUAAAAAAUAAAAAACAAUAUUUAUAUAUAAUAUGCAAUUGGACUGGGCCUAAACAUGACUAUACUAUUGAAAGACAGGGCAAUAACAAUGUUUUAUUUUAAUUAUCUUUUCUGGACUAAAGCAUUGUGUCUUCGCUUCUACUUUUUUUAGUCUCGAAAUUUUUAUAACUAGUAAAAAUAAUUUAAAUUGGG
rnacentral:lncRNA from 1 species